UCUUAUGGAUGAGCAAAGAAAGUGGUUUCUUAAGAUGGAAUCCACUUCAGGUGAAGAUACUGUGAA
rnacentral:pre_miRNA from 1 species